CGGGAGGCAGCAGUGGGGAAUAUUGCACAAUGGGCGCAAGCCUGAUGCAGCCAUGCCGCGUGUAUGAAGAAGGCCUUCGGGUUGUAAAGUACUUUCAGCGGGGAGGAAGGGAGUAAAGUUAAUACCUUUGCUCAUUGACGUUACCCGCAGAAGAAGCACCGGCUAACUCCGUGCCAGCAGCCGCGGUAAUACGGAGGGUGCAAGCGUUUAAUCGGAAUUACUGGGGCGUAAAGCGCACGGCAGGCGGGUUUGAUAAGUCAGAUGUGAAAUCCCCGGGCUCAACCCUGGGAACUGCAUCUGAUACUGGCAAGCUUGAGUCUCGGUAGAGGGGGGUAGAAUUCCAGGUGUAGCGGGUGAAAUGCGUAGAGAUCUGGA
rnacentral:rRNA from 1 species